GAUGAACGCUGGCGGCGUGCCUAAUACAUGCAAGUCGAGCGAACGGAUGAGGAGCUUGCUCCUCUGACGUUAGCGGCGGACGGGUGAGUAACACGUGGAUAACCUACCUAUAAGACUGGGAUAACUUCGGGAAACCGGAGCUAAUACCGGAUAAUAUAUUGAACCGCAUGGUUCAAUAGUGAAAGACGGUUUUGCUGUCACUUAUAGAUGGAUCCGCGCCGCAUUAGCUAGUUGGUAAGGUAACGGCUUACCAAGGCGACGAUGCGUAGCCGACCUGAGAGGGUGAUCGGCCACACUGGAACUGAGACACGGUCCAGACUCCUACGGGAGGCAGCAGUAGGGAAUCUUCCGCAAUGGGCGAAAGCCUGACGGAGCAACGCCGCGUGAGUGAUGAAGGUCUUCGGAUCGUAAAACUCUGUUAUUAGGGAAGAACAAAUGUGUAAGUAACUAUGCACGUCUUGACGGUACCUAAUCAGAAAGCCACGGCUAACUACGUG
rnacentral:rRNA from 1 species